CGCGCUUGGGCCGCUCAGCCGGUAC
rnacentral:miRNA from 1 species